rnacentral:rRNA from 1 species
GAUGAACGCUGGCGGCGUGCCUAAUACAUGCAAGUCGAGCGAACAGAUGAGGAGCUUGCUCCUCUGACGUUAGCGGCGGACGGGUGAGUAACACGUGGAUAACCUACCUAUAAGACUGGGAUAACUUCGGGAAACCGGUGCUAAUACCGGAUAAUAUAUUGAACCGCAUGGUUCAAUAGUGAAAGACGGUUUUGCUGUCACUUAUAGAUGGAUCCGCGCCGCAUUAGCUAGUUGGUAAGGUAACGGCUUACCAAGGCAACGAUGCGUAGCCGACCUGAGAGGGUGAUCGGCCACACGGGAGGUGGGACACGGUCCAGAGUCCUACGGGAGGCAGCAGUAGGGAAUGUUCCGCAAUGGGCGAGAGCCUGACGGAGCAACGCCGCGUGAGAGAUAAAGGUCUUCGGAUCGUAAAACUCUGUUAUUAGGGAAGAACAAAUGUGUAAGUAACUAUGCACGUCUUGACGGUACCUAAUCAGAAAGCCACGGCUAACUACGUG